GGUAGGGGGAUCGGCCCUCCGACGACACGAGGGUAACUAGCCGUGACGCCCAUGAGAUGAAUCAACCGCAGCUGGACUAGGGCCUAGGGCAACCGACAGCGGCGGCGCAGGAACAAUUUUGUAGCCACUCGACAGAAAUCAGCGGUGGUGCGGGGGCAUCCAUCAGUAUCCAUACGAGAGCUUCAAGCAACGGCUGCGCGAGGGCAUAAAGCAAGUGCGACGCCAGGAGAUUAGGUGAGGAUUACUCGAUGCAGCCUCCUAACCAGGAGCUUAUCGUGCAAGAUUUGCAUGACAACAUGUGGAUAUUUCGUCACAUUUAUCGUGAUGAUGGCCUUCAUUCAUGUUUCAUCGCGAGCACUAUGACGAAGAAGUAAGAAGAAAGGAAGGCAUGCAUGAUCUAGGCAUGCAUGCACAUUCUUCUAAUGCUGAAUUUUCUUGGAAUUUGGAUGUAGUGCUGAUUUUGCUGAGAAUUUGAUGUAUAUUUGCAUGCAAACAAAAUUCAAAUGCUGGGAGUUAUGUA